GCCCACGUAGCUCAGUCGGCAGAGCACACCCUUGGUAAGGGUGAGGUCGGCGGUUCAAGUCCGCUCGUGGGCUUAG
rnacentral:tRNA from 1 species